GACGAACGCUGGCGGCGUGCCUAAUACAUGCAAGUAGAACGCUGAAGGAGGAGCUUGCUUCUCUGGAUGAGCUGCGAACGGGUGAGUAACGCGUAGGUAACCUGCCUGGUAGCGGGGGAUAACUAUUGGAAACGAUAGCUAAUACCGCAUAAUAUUGACUAUUGCAUGAUAGUCAGUUGAAAGGUGCAACUGCACCACUACCAGAUGGACCUGCGUUGUAUUAGCUAGUUGGUGGGGUAACGGCUCACCAAGGCGACGAUACAUAGCCGACCUGAGAGGGUGAGCGGCCACACUGGGACUGAGACACGGCCCAGACUCCUACGGGAGGCAGCAGGAGGGAAUCUUCGGCAAUGGACGGAAGGCUGACCGAGCAACGCCGCGUGAGUGAAGAAGGUUUUCGGAUCGUAAAGCUCGGUUGUAAGAGAAGAACGAGUGUGAGAGUGGAAAGCUCACACUGUGACGGUAUCUGACCAGAAAGGGACGGCUAACUACGUG
rnacentral:rRNA from 1 species